CCUCUCGUGGCUUAGUGGUUAGAGCAUUGGUGUGUAAAUCCAAAGGUCUGGGGUUCGAUUCUCGGCGAGGA
rnacentral:tRNA from 1 species